AUAAACGCUAGCGGCAGGCCUAACACAUGCAAGUCGCGGGGCAGCAUAACGAUUAGCAAUAAUCGUUGAUGGCGACCGGCGCACGGGUGCGUAACACGUAUGUAACCUGGCCUUUACAGGGGGAUAGUCAGAGGAAACUUUGAAUAAUACCCCAUAACACACCAUUAAGGCAUCUUAAAGGUGUUAAAGGAGCGAUCCGGUAAAGGAUGGGCAUGCGACCGAUUAGACAGUUGGUGAGGUAACGGCUCACCAAAUCCACGAUCGGUAGGGGGUCUGAGAGGACUACCCCCCACACUGGUACUGAGAUACGGACCAGACUCCUACGGGAGGCAGCAGUGAGGAAUAUUGGGCAAUGGGCGGAAGCCUGACCCAGCCAUGCCGCGUGCAGGAAGACAGCCCUAUGGGUCGUAAACUGCUUUUUUAGAGGGAGAAUAAAGUCUACGAGUAGACCGAUGACGUACUUUAAGAAAAAGCAUCGGCUAACUCCGGUGCCAGCAGCCGCGGUAAUACGGAGGAUGCAAGCGUUAUCGGGAAUUAUUGGGUUUAAAGGGUCGCGCAGGCGGGGCCGUUAAAUCAGUAGUGGAACCCGGGGCUCAACCCCCCGGAGGUGCGACAGAUACUGGGGGGGGGAGAUAGAGUCUGGAGCGCAGUG
rnacentral:rRNA from 1 species